rnacentral:rRNA from 1 species
AUUGAACGCUGGCGGCAUGCUUUACACAUGCAAGUCGAACGGUAACAGGCCUUCGGGUGCUGACGAGUGGCGAACGGGUGAGUAAUGCAUCGGAACGUGCCCAGAGGUGGGGGAUAACGCAACGAAAGCUGUGCUAAUACCGCAUGUGAUCUGAGGAUGAAAGCGGGGGACCAGGCAGCAAUGUUUGGCCUCGCGCCUUUGGAGCGGCCGAUGUCAGAUUAGGUAGUUGGUGGGGUAAAGGCCUACCAAGCCGACGAUCUGUAGCUGGUCUGAGAGGACGACCAGCCACACUGGGACUGAGACACGGCCCAGACUCCUACGGGAGGCAGCAGUGGGGAAUUUUGGACAAUGGGCGCAAGCCUGAUCCAGCAAUGCCGCGUGCGGGAAGAAGGCCUUCGGGUUGUAAACCGCUUUUGUACGGAACGAAAAGGCUCUGGCUAAUACCUGGGGCUGAUGACGGUACCGUAAGAAUAAGCACCGGCUAACUACGUG